rnacentral:tRNA from 1 species
GGGGUGUUGGCGAAGUGAUAACGCAUCCGACUUUCUAUCGGACAUUCGCGGGUUUGAAUCCCGUACACCCUU